rnacentral:rRNA from 1 species
AGUGAACGCUGGCGGCGUGCCUAAUACAUGCAAGUCGAACGGAGUGGCGCACGGGUGAGUAAUAUAUAGCUAAUCUGCCCUUUGCUGGAGGACAACAGUUAGAAAUGACUGCUAAUACUCCAUAGAAAGGGAUGAGACUAUAUCGUAUCAGCUAGUCGGUGGGGUCACGGCCUACCGAGGCUAUGACGAGUAACUGGGCGGAGAAGAUGAUCAGUCACAUUGGAACGGAGGCAGUGUCCAAACUCCUACGGGAAGCAGCAGUAGGGAAGAUUGCGCAAGGGGGGAAACCCUAACAGAGCAACGCCGCGUGAAGGAUGACACUUUUCGGAGCGUAAACUCCUUUUGUUAGGGAAGCGGUACCUAACGAAUAAGCACCGGCUAACUCCGUGCCAGCAGCCGCGGUAAUAC